UACGUGCCAGCAGCCGCGGUAAUACGUAGGUGGCAAGCGUUGUCCGGAAUUAUUGGGCGUAAAGCGCGCGCAGGCGGAUCAGUUAGUCUGUCUUAAAAGUUCGGGGCUUAACCCCGUGAUGGGAUGGAAACUGCUGAUCUAGAGUAUCGGAGAGGAAAGUGGAAUUCCUAGUGUAGCGGUGAAAUGCGUAGAUAUUAGGAAGAACACCAGUGGCGAAGGCGACUUUCUGGACGAAAACUGACGCUGAGGCGCGAAAGCCAGGGGAGCGAACGGGAUUAGAUACCCCGGUAGUCCUGGCCGUAAACGAUGGGUACUAGGUGUAGGAGGUAUCGACCCCUUCUGUGCCGGAGUUAACGCAAUAAGUACCCCGCCUGGGGAGUACGACCGCAAGGUUGAAACUCAAAGGAAUUGACGGGGGCCCGCACAAGCGGUGGAGUAUGUGGUUUAAUUCGACGCAACGCGAAGAACCUUACCAGGUCUUGACAUUGAUGGACAGAACUAGAGAUAG
rnacentral:rRNA from 1 species